rnacentral:rRNA from 1 species
UACGUAGGUGGCAAGCGUUGUCCGGAUUUACUGGGUGUAAAGGGCGUGCAGCCGGGCUGACAAGUCAGAUGUGAAAUCCCGCGGCUCAACCGCGGAACUGCAUUUGAAACUGUCAGUCUUGAGUACCGGAGAGGUCAUCGGAAUUCCUUGUGUAGCGGUGAAAUGCGUAGAUAUUAGGAAGAACACCAGUGGCGAAGGCGGCUUGCUGGACAGUAACUGACGUUGAGGCUCGAAAGCGUGGGGAGCAAACAGG